UUUAUGGAGAGUUUGAUCCUGGCUCAGGAUGAACGCUGGCGGCGUGCCUAAUACAUGCAAGUCGAGCGAACGGACGAGAAGCUUGCUUCUCUGAUGUUAGCGGCGGACGGGUGAGUAACACGUGGAUAACCUACCUAUAAGACUGGGAUAACUUCGGGAAACCGGAGCUAAUACCGGAUGAUAUUUUGAACCGCAUGGUUCAAAAGUGAAAGACGGUCUUGCUGUCACUUAUAGAUGGAUCCGCGCUGCAUUAGCUAGUUGGUAAGGUAACGGCUUACCAAGGCAACGAUGCAUAGCCGACCUGAGAGGGUGAUCGGCCACACUGGAACUGAGACACGGUCCAGACUCCUACGGGAGGCAGCAGUAGGGAAUCUUCCGCAAUGGGCGAAAGCCUGACGGAGCAACGCCGCGUGAGUGAUGAAGGUCUUCGGAUCGUAAAACUCUGUUAUUAGGGAAGAACAUAUGUGUAAGUAACUGUGCACAUCUUGACGGUACCUAAUCAGAAAGCCACGGCUAACUACGUGCCAGCAGCCGCGGUAAUACGUAGGUGGCAAGCGUUAUCCGGAAUUAUUGGGCGUAAAGCGCGCGUAGGCGGUUUUUUAAGUCUGAUGUGAAAGCCCACGGCUCAACCGUGGAGGGUCAUUGGAAACUGGAAAACUUGAGUGCAGAAGAGGAAAGUGGAAUUCCAUGUGUAGCGGUGAAAUGCGUAGAGAUAUGGAGGAACACCAGUGGCGAAGGCGACUUUCUGGUCUGUAACUGACGCUGAUGUGCGAAAGCGUGGGGAUCAAACAGGAUUAGAUACCCUGGUAGUCCACGCCGUAAACGAUGAGUGCUAAGUGUUAGGGGGUUUCCGCCCCUUAGUGCUGCAGCUAACGCAUUAAGCACUCCGCCUGGGGAGUACGACCGCAAGGUUGAAACUCAAAGGAAUUGACGGGGACCCGCACAAGCGGUGGAGCAUGUGGUUUAAUUCGAAGCAACGCGAAGAACCUUACCAAAUCUUGACAUCCUUUGACAACUCUAGAGAUAGAGCCUUCCCCUUCGGGGGACAAAGUGACAGGUGGUGCAUGGUUGUCGUCAGCUCGUGUCGUGAGAUGUUGGGUUAAGUCCCGCAACGAGCGCAACCCUUAAGCUUAGUUGCCAUCAUUAAGUUGGGCACUCUAAGUUGACUGCCGGUGACAAACCGGAGGAAGGUGGGGAUGACGUCAAAUCAUCAUGCCCCUUAUGAUUUGGGCUACACACGUGCUACAAUGGACAAUACAAAGGGCAGCGAAACCGCGAGGUCAAGCAAAUCCCAUAAAGUUGUUCUCAGUUCGGAUUGUAGUCUGCAACUCGACUACAUGAAGCUGGAAUCGCUAGUAAUCGUAGAUCAGCAUGCUACGGUGAAUACGUUCCCGGGUCUUGUACACACCGCCCGUCACACCACGAGAGUUUGUAACACCCGAAGCCGGUGGAGUAACCUUUUAGGAGCUAGCCGUCGAAGGUGGGACAAAUGAUUGGGGUGAAGUCGUAACAAGGUAGCCGUAUCGGAAGGUGCGGCUGGAUCACCUCCUUUCU
rnacentral:rRNA from 1 species